rnacentral:rRNA from 1 species
UGCCAGCCGCCGCGGUAAUACAGAGGGUGCAAGCGUUAAUCGGAAUGACUGGGCGUAAAGGGUGCGUAGGUGGAUAGAUAAGUCAGGUGUGAAAUUCCAGAGCUUAACUUUGGGUAGUCGCUUGAUACUGUAUAUCUUGAAUUGUGUUGAGGUUAGCGGAAUGAGUCAUGUAGCGGUGAAAUGCAUAGAUAUGACUUAGAACACCAAUUGCGAAGGCAGCUAGCUAGGCAUUGAUUGACGCUGAGGCACGAAAGCGUGGGGAGCGAACAGGAUUAGAUA